rnacentral:rRNA from 1 species
UACGAAGGGGGCUAGCGUUGCUCGGAAUCACUGGGCGUAAAGCGCACGUAGGCGGCUUGUUGCGUCAGCUGUGAAAACCCGCAGCUCAACUGUGGGCUUGCGGUCGAUACGGGCAGGCUAGAGUUCGGUAGGGGAGACUGGAAUUCCUGGUGUAGCGGUGAAAUGCGCAGAUAUCAGGAGGAACGCCGGUGGCGAAGGCGGGUCUCUGGGCCGAUACUGACGCUGAGGAGCGAAAGCGUGGGGAGCGAACAGG